rnacentral:rRNA from 1 species
AGAAUUUGAUCUUGGUUCAGAUUGAACGCUGACGGCGUGGAUGAGGCAUGCGAGUCGCACGAAAUAUCGAGCUUGCUCGAUAUUUAGUGGCGAAAGGGUUAGUAAUACAUGGGUAACCUGCCUUUAACUUGGGAAUAACGGUUGGAAACGACCGCUAAUACCGAAUGUGGUGAUCUUUAGGCAUCUUUAGAUCAUCAAAGUGGGGGAUCUUCGGACCUUGCGGUUAAAGAGGGGCCCAUGGGAUAUCAGCUAGUUGGUGAGGUAAAGGCUCACCAAGGCUAAGACGUCUAGGCGGAUUGAGAGAUUGACCGCCAACACUGGGACUGAGACACUGCCCAGACUCCUACGGGAGGCUGCAGUCGAGAAUCAUUCGCAAUGGGCGAAAGCCUGACGAUGCGACGCCGUGUGGACGAUGAAGGCCUUAGGGUUGUAAAGUCCUUUCGCUUGGGAACAAGAGAGGUCGGCAAAUAACCGGCCAAUUUGAGGGUACCAGGUAAAGAAGCACCGGCUAACUCCGUGCCAGCAGCUGCGGUAAUACGGAGGGUGCAAGCGUUAAUCGGAUUUAUUGGGCGUAAAGGGCGCGUAGGCGGAAGAGAAAGUCAGAUGUGAAAUUCCGGGGCUCACCCCCGGAACUGCAUAAAACUUCUUUUCUAGAGGGUAGAAGGAGAAAACGGAAUUCCACGUGUAGCGGUGAAAUGCGUAGAUAUGUGGAAGAACACCGGUGGCGAAGGCGGUUUUCUAUUUUAUUCCUGACGCUGAGGCGCGAAAGCAAGGGGAGCAAACAGGAUUAGAUACCCUGGUAGUCCUUGCCGUAAACGAUGCAUACUUGGUGUAGUUGGACUCAACCCCGACUGUGCCGAAGCUAACGCGUUAAGUAUGCCGCCUGGGAAGUACGCUCGCAAGGGUGAAACUCAAAAGAAUUGACGGGGACCCGCACAAGCAGUGGAGCAUGUGGUUUAAUUCGAUGCAACGCGAAGAACCUUACCUAGGCUUGACAUAUAGAUGACGAUAUCAGAGAUGAUAUUUCUCUUCGGAGCAUUUAUACAGGUGCUGCAUGGCUGUCGUCAGCUCGUGCCGUGAGGUGUUGGGUUAAGUCCCGCAACGAGCGCAACCCUUAUCAUUAGUUGCCAACAGUUCGGCUGGGGACUCUAAUGAGACUGCCUGGGUUAACCAGGAGGAAGGUGAGGAUGACGUCAAGUCCGCAUGGCCCUUAUGCCUAGGGCUACACACGUGCUACAAUGGCCGGUACAGAAGGCAGCGAAACCGUGAGGUGUAGCAAAUCCUAUAAAACCGGUCCCAGUUCGGAUUGUAGUCUGCAACUCGACUACAUGAAGUUGGAAUUGCUAGUAAUGGCGUGUCAGCAACAACGCCGUGAAUACGUUCCCGGGUCUUGUACACACCGCCCGUCACACCAUGGGAGUUGGUUUUACCCGAUGUCGCUGACUCAACCGCAAGGAGAGAGGCGCCUAAGGUGAGGCUGAUAACUGGGGUGAAGUCGUAACAAGGUA